CGAUUUGAGUGUCCAGCCCACGCAUUUAGCGAAAGGCUGAUGGCUGGUGGCUUUUGCCACCGGCCU
rnacentral:sRNA from 1 species